GGUUGUGUGGUCUAGAGGUAUGAUACCUGCUUAGGGUGCAGGUGGUCCGGAGUUCGAUUCUCCGCUCAACCC
rnacentral:tRNA from 1 species